CUGAUAUUUUCCAACAAUUCUAUUCUUAGGUGUUGUUUUCAAGAGAAAAAGAAAACACAUGUCCACACAAAGACUUGUACUGGAAUGUUUACAGCAGCUUUAUUAAUAAUAGUCAAAAGCUGGGGACAACACAAAUGUCCAUCAUGGAUAAAGAAACUGUUGUAUACUCAUACAAUGGAAUUAUAUUUUCAGCAAUAAAAACUGACAUAAUAUUAAUAUAUACAGAAAUGUAUGAAUCUCAAAAGCAUUAAGAGGUCAGACACAAAAAACUACAUAUCAUAUUAUCAAAAAAAUGUUGCAACAAAUUUAGUUUAAAGGUCUCAGUUGGCUUUAUCAAGAUUCUAGAAUUGGGUAACAUUUAUUCCAUAAGCUAGAAUAAUUGUUCCCAUGGCUCAAGCAGAGGAUGUUGGUUUUAUAGACAGUAAAAGGGCUGAAGAAAGCAAAACAAAUAACAAAAAGUGGAUUGGUCAUUUCCAAGUUACUUUCUUUGUAAGUCAGGGACAGGAAGACAGAACAAUGGGAAGAUAACUGAUGGGUUAACAACAGGUUACUCCAGGUUACUCUUUGUUGUAAGGAUUAAAACAGAGGAAACUUCAUUCUCAUGCUGAUAGAAGGUUGAAAUUGGCCUGUUUGGGAAAUUAGGCUCCUUCUCACUCCUGUUUUCUCAAAAGGCCAGAUAACAGCUUAGUUUUGGUUUGGUGAGCCGGGGUAACUCCAUUUUGAGUUUUAGUCUCGUCCAUUGGGGCCCAGUAUAGGAGUUUAGUCCAAAACAAUGGCAUCCUGGCAGGGCAUGGGCUCACACCUGUAAUUCCAGCACUUCAGGAGGUCAAGGUGGGAAGAUUGCUUGAGCCCAGGAAUUCAAGACCAGCCUGGGCAACACAGCAAGACCACAUCUCUACAAAAAAUAAAAAUAAGAAAAUUAGCCCAAUGUGGUGGUGCACACCUGUAGUCCUAGCUACUGGGGAGGUUGAAGCAGAUGGAUCACUUGUGUCCGGGAGGUCAAUGCUAUAGUGACCUGUGACAUGCCAUUGCACUCCAGCCUGGGUGACAGAGUGAGACCCCAUUUCCCCCCCCAAAAAAGGCCCCCUAUAAUUUUUGUUUAACAAUAUGAUACCAUUUAUGUAAAAUUCUAGUAAAGGUAAACUAAAGUGACAGAGGUAGAUCAGUAGUUGCCAGGGAUUGAGGGUCAGGAGAGGGAAUCAACUGCAAAGGGGCAUGAGAAAAUAUUUUAGGGUUUUGAUGUUACACAAUUGU
rnacentral:lncRNA from 1 species